rnacentral:tRNA from 1 species
GCGAAUGUGGCGAAAUUGGUAGACGCGCUGGAUUUAGGUUCCAGUGGUAGCCCCGUGAGAGUUCGAGUCUCUCCAUUCGCA